UGGGGAAUAUUGCGCAAUGGGGGAAACCCUGACGCAGCAACGCCGCGUGAAGGAUGAAGGUUUUCGGAUUGUAAACUUCUUUGAUGAGGGACGAUAAUGACGGUACCUCAAAAACAAGCCACGGCUAACUACGUGCCAGCAGCCGCGGUAAUACGUAGGUGGCAAGCGUUGUCCGGAAUUACUGGGUGUAAAGGGCGUGUAGGCGGGGAUGCAAGUCAGAUGUGAAAUACCGAGGCUUAACUUCGGGGCUGCAUUUGAAACUGCACAUCUUGAGUGUCGGAGAGGAAAGCGGAAUUCCUAGUGUAGCGGUGAAAUGCGUAGAUAUUAGGAGGAACACCAGUGGCGAAGGCGGCUUUCUGGACGAUAACUGACGCUGAGGCGCGAAAGCGUGGGGAGCAAACAGG
rnacentral:rRNA from 2 species